UUAGAUUUUAGCUUUUAAGUAUCUUUAUAUUUUAGCUUUUAAGUAUUUUUUUCUUUACUUUCUCCUCUUUCUUCUACAGGUCCUACGGCUAUGGAGUUGGCAGGUGUUGCAGUGGGGUUUCCGUCGUCCGUAUUCUGUCCAGGUCCGGGUAAUUCAGGUCAGUUUGCAAAAAUUUUAAAUAUCUUUUAAAUAAUUAUUUAUAUAUAUAUUUAUUUUUUUUUUUUUACAUAUAUAUACGUAUAAAAAUACUGAGCUACUGGGUGCAAAUCUGCCGCAAAUUCUUCUAAAAAACUAGGCCUGAGCUCAACCCUAACGUCGCGCACGCUUGGCGGUAAUUUUUGGCCAGCGGUCUGGUCCGAUUCUAACCAAUGGUACUGUCAGUCCGUCUUGUCGUUCAGGGUCAAAAAAAUCUUUAUGGUCGAAACCUUUGGUAUACCUGCGCACCCCAGGAUUGGCAGUGCGGAGCCGAUGUUCCCAAAUGAAAGAUCCCACGUUGGAAGUCGGCAGAGGUGGCGUUGAAAUAUUUGUAUAACCUUUUUUUUUUUCGGUGUUCAAUUUAUAUAAUUUAUAUUAUAUUGUUUGAUUUAAAUAAAGACUUUAAAAAUG